rnacentral:rRNA from 1 species
ACGUAGGGUCCAAGCGUUAUCCGGAUUUACUGGGCGUAAAGCGUCUGUAGGCGGCCACGCAAGUUGGGUGCGAAAUUUUGGGGCUCAACCCCGAAACUGUGCUCAAAACUGUUUGGCUCGAGGUAGGUAGAGGUGCAUGGAAUUUCUGGUGUAGGGGUGACAUCCGUAGAUAUCAGAAGGAACACCAAUGGCGAAGGCAGUGCACUGGGCCUUACCUGACGCUGAGAGACGAAAGCGUGGGGAGCGAACGGGAUUAGAUACCCCGGUAGUCCACGCCGUAAACGAUGGUCGCUAGUUGUAUGGAGUUUCGACCCUCUGUGCAGCAAAGCUAACGCGUUAAGUGACCGGCCUGGGGACUACGAGCGCAAGCUUA